rnacentral:rRNA from 1 species
GACGUAGGGCGCGAGCGUUGUCCGGAUUUAUUGGGCGUAAAGAGCUCGUAGGCGGCUCGUUGCGUCGGCUGUGAAAAACCCGCAGCUCAACUGUGGGCUUGCAGCUGAUACGGGCGGGCUGGGAUUCGGUAGGGGAGACUGGAAUUCCUGGUGUAGCGGUGAAAUGCGCAGAUAUCAGGGAGGGAAACACCCGGGUGGGCGAAAGGCGGGUGGUCUGGGGCCCGGCACUGACGCUGAGGAGCGAAAGCGUGGGUAGCAAACAGG